UACGUAGGUGGCAAGCGUUGUUCGGAAUUAUUGGGCGUAAAGGGCGCGUAGGCGGUUUGUUAAGUCGGCUGUGAAAGCCCGGGGCUCAACCCCGGAGGGUCAGCCGAUACUGGCAGACUAGAGUACGGAAGAGGUAGCUGGAAUUCCCGGUGUAGCGGUGAAAUGCGUAGAUAUCGUGAGGAAGACCGGUGGCGAAGGCGGAUCUCUGGACAGUUCCUGACGCUGAGGCGCGAAGGCCAGGGGAGCAAACGGG
rnacentral:rRNA from 1 species